AACGAACGCUGGCGGCGCGUCUUAAGCAUGCAAGUCGAACGGCAAGAGAGGAGCUUGCUUCUCUCCUAGAGUGGCGGACUGGUGAGGAACACGUGGGUAAUCUACCCUUAAGAUGGGGAUAGCUGCUAGAAAUAGCAGGUAAUACCGAAUACACUCGGCAUAUCACAAGAGGUGUUGAGGAAAGGAAGCUACGGCUUCGCUUGAGGAUGAGCUUGCGUCCCAUUAGCUAGUUGGUGAGGUAAAGGCCCACCAAGGCGACGAUGGGUAUCCGGCCUGAGAGGGUGAACGGACACAUUGGGACUGAGAUACGGCCCAAACUCCUACGGGAGGCAGCAGCUUAGAAUAUUCCGCAAUGGACGGAAGUCUGACGGAGCGACGCCGCGUGGAUGAAGAAGGCUGAAAAGUUGUAAAAUCCUUUUGUUGAUGAAGAAUAAGGGUGAGAGGGAAUGCUCAUCUGAUGACGGUAAUCGACGAAUAAGCCCCGGCUAAUUACGUG
rnacentral:rRNA from 1 species